rnacentral:rRNA from 1 species
AUGAACGCUGGCGGCGUGCCUAAUACAUGCAAGUCGAGCGGACAGAUGAGGAGCUUGCUCCUCUGACGUUAGCGGCGGACGGGUGAGUAACACGUGGAUAACCUACCUAUAAGCCUGGGAUAACUUCGGGAAACCGGAGCUAAUACCGGAUAAUAUAUUGAACCGCAUGGUUCAAUAGUGAAAGACGGUUUUGCUGUCACUUAUAGAUGGAUCCGCGCCGCAUUAGCUAGUUGGUAAGGUAACGGCUUACCAAGGCAACGAUGCGUAGCCGACCUGAGAGGGUGAUCGGCCACACUGGAACUGAGACACGGUCCAGACUCCUACGGGAGGCAGCAGUAGGGAAUCUUCCGCAAUGGGCGAAAGCCUGACGGAGCAACGCCGCGUGAGUGAUGAAGGUCUUCGGAUCGUAAAACUCUGUUAUUAGGGAAGAACAAAUGUGUAAGUAACUAUGCACGUCUUGACGGUACCUAAUCAGAAAGCCACGGCUAACUACGUG